AUAUUUGCAAGUACACAUAAAGGUAUCCUUCAUCAGCAGCACAGUGCUUCCUUUCCUCUGAAUCUGCCAUCAGCUCAGGCAGAUUUCUAAGCAGCAAAUCAGCCUUUGCCAGAACACUGCAGGACACCAGUGCAGCGCCCAGCCUGCGACCAUGAGCUCGCCUGCACCCAGGUGAUUAAAAAGCUUUAUUGCUCACACAAAGCCUGUUUGGUGGUCUCUUCACAUGGACGCGAGUGACAUUUGGUGCCGUGACUCGGAUCGGGGAACCUCCCUUGGGAGAUCAAUCCCCUGUCCUCCUGCUCUUUGUUCCAAGAGAAAGAUCCACCUACGACCUCUGCUCCUCAGACCAACCAGCCCAAGGAACAUCUCACCAAUUUUAAAUCGGGUAAGUGGCCUGUCUUUACUCUCUUCUCCAAUCUCUCUCACUAUCCCUCAACCUCUUUCUCCUUUCAAUCUCGGCACCACACUUCAAUCUUUCCCUUCUCUUAAUUUCAAUUCCUUUCCUUUUUUGGUAGAGAUACGGGAGAUGUGUUUUAUCUGUGGACUCAAAACUCCAGUGCUGGUCACAGAUUCGGGAAGACAGUCUUCCCUUGGUGUUUAAUCACUGCAGAGAUGCCUGCCUGAUUAUUCACCCACAUUUCAUUGGUGUCUGAUC
rnacentral:lncRNA from 1 species